rnacentral:rRNA from 1 species
GCGGCCUAUCAGCUUGUUGGUGAGGUAAAGGCUCACCAAGGCGACGACGGGUAGCCGGCCUGAGAGGGCGACCGGCCACACUGGGACUGAGACACGGCCCAGACUCCUACGGGAGGCAGCAGUAGGGAAUAUUGGGCAAUGGGCGAAGGCCUGACCCAGCGACGCCGCGUGAGGGAUGAAGGUCUUCGGAUUGUAAACCUCUUUCAGUAGGGAAGAAGCGAAAGUGACGGUACCUAAAGAAGAAGCACCGGCUAACUAUGUGCCAGCAGCCGCGGUAAUACAUAGGGUGCAAGCGUUGUCCGGAAUUAUUGGGCGUAAAGAGCUCGUAGGUUGUUUGUCGCGUCGGUUGUGAAAAUCUGAGGCUCAACCUCAGACCUGCAGUCGAUACGGGCAAACUAGAGUGUGGUAGGGGAGACUGGAAUUCCU